UAUCUGCAGUCGAGCGGACAGAAGGGAGCUUGCUCCCGGAUGUUAGCGGCGGACGGGUGAGUAACACGUGGGUAACCUGCCUGUAAGACUGGGAUAACUCCGGGAAACCGGAGCUAAUACCGGAUAGUUCCUUGAACCGCAUGGUUCAAGGAUGAAAGACGGUUUCGGCUGUCACUUACAGAUGGACCCGCGGCGCAUUAGCUAGUUGGUGGGGUAAUGGCUCACCAAGGCGACGAUGCGUAGCCGACCUGAGAGGGUGAUCGGCCACACUGGGACUGAGACACGGCCCAGACUCCUACGGGAGGCAGCAGUAGGGAAUCUUCCGCAAUGGACGAAAGUCUGACGGAGCAACGCCGCGUGAGUGAUGAAGGUUUUCGGAUCGUAAAGCUCUGUUGUUAGGGAAGAACAAGUGCGAGAGUAACUGCUCGCACCUUGACGGUACCUAACCAGAAAGCCACGGCUAACUACGUGCCAGCAGCCGCGGUAAUACGUAGGUGGCAAGCGUUGUCCGGAAUUAUUGGGCGUAAAGGGCUCGCAGGCGGUUUCUUAAGUCUGAUGUGAAAGCCCCCGGCUCAACCGGGGAGGGUCAUUGGAAACUGGGAAACUUGAGUGCAGAAGAGGAGAGUGGAAUUCCACGUGUAGCGGUGAAAUGCGUAGAGAUGUGGAGGAACACCAGUGGCGAAGGCGACUCUCUGGUCUGUAACUGACGCUGAGGAGCGAAAGCGUGGGGAGCGAACAGGAUUAGAUACCCUGGUAGUCCACGCCGUAAACGAUGAGUGCUAAGUGUUAGGGGGUUUCCGCCCCUUAGUGCUGCAGCUAACGCAUUAAGCACUCCGCCUGGGGAGUACGG
rnacentral:rRNA from 1 species